rnacentral:rRNA from 1 species
UACAGAGGGUGCGAGCGUUGUCCGGAAUCACUGGGCGUAAAGGGCGCGUAGGCGGCUUGAUAAGCGUGCGGUGAAAGCCCGGGGCUCAACCCCGGGUCGGCCGUGCGAACUGUCGAGCUGGAGCACUGUAGAGGCAGGUGGAAUUCCGGGUGUAGCGGUGGAAUGCGUAGAGAUCCGGAAGAACACCGGUGGCGAAGGCGGCCUGCUGGGCAGUGGCUGACGCUGAGGCGCGACAGCGUGGGAGGCAAACAGG